GGAUCUUUGGAUCGUCCUGAGUUAGUUAUCAUGAGAGCUGGUCUGUUAUAAGGGCCAGUUGGCCCUUGUCUUGAGGCCCUCAUCACAUGGAUACUGCCCUGCCUCAGAACUCUGCAUAGAGCCUCCAUAAGCCAGAAGGUUCUUUCAGAAGUGGCCCUUUCAGAAGUGGCCCUUUCACCUUGAACUUCCCAGCCUUCAGAACUAGAAGAAUCAAUUUUUUCCUUUCUAAAUUACCCAGUUUCAGGUAUUUUGCUAUAGAAACAGAAAAGGUUAUAAGAAACUAAACUUGACAAGAGCAAUGUCAAUGGAGAAGUGGGAUCAAAGGUCUAAUUAGACUGGGUUCAGUGAAAGGGGCUAGGGAUGUAACUCAGUGGUAAAGCGCCUGCCUAGCAUGCCCAAGUCCCUGGGUUCAAUCCCCAGCACCAUAAAACAAAACAAACAAACAAAAAAUCAAUGAGAGGAAGGGAAGAGGGUGAGUACAGCGACCUCUAGAGUUUUGUUGUAAAGGAAAGCAGAGACUAAUGGUCAUCAGGGGCUGGGACCAUUUUGUUUGUUUUGUUGCAUCUUUGUUUUGUUUUGCUCUGUUGUAGGGUGGGGAAUGUCAGAGCAUGCUUGCUAAUGAAAUGACCCACAGAUGAGAGCAUGUUUUUGAAGUUAUGUCCUUGGAUAGUUGAGGGAGAUAAGGACCUGUGACACUUGGAAGAAUUGCCCAGCAAGACAGUUCAUUCAUAGGAGCAGAAAAUAAAUUGUAAUGCACACACAAGUACACUUUAGAUGUGAUGGAACGGGCAUGUUUUCUGAUUGCUUUUCUUUGUUCUCAGUGAAAUGGGCAACAAGGUUAUCCAUUGAGAAUUGAGGAACAAGUGGGAAGAAAUAUUAGAUGUCCGAGGAAAAGGAGAAUCUGUGAGUGGUGGUUGUCAUGGGCAGCAGGAGAGUCAAUGAUCCAGAAAAGUAGUUUCCAAACUG
rnacentral:lncRNA from 1 species